rnacentral:rRNA from 1 species
UGGGGAAUAUUGCACAAUGGGCGCAAGCCUGAUGCAGCAAUGCCGCGUGAGUGAAGACGGCCUUAGGGUUGUAAAACUCUUUCGCUAGGGAAGAUAAUGACGGUACCUAGUAAAGAAGUCCCGGCUAACUCCGUGCCAGCAGCCGCGGUAAUACGGAGGGGACUAGCGUUGUUCGGAAUUACUGGGCGUAAAGAGUUCGUAGGCGGACCAGAAAGUUGGGGGUGAAAUCCCGGGGGCUCAACCCCGGAACUGCCUCCAAAACUAUUGGUCUAGAGUUCGAGAGAGGUGAGUGGAAUUCCAAGUGUAGAGGUGAAAUUCGUAGAUAUUUGGAGGAACACCAGUGGCGAAGGCGGCUCACUGGCUCGAUACUGACGCUGAGGUGCGAAAGUGUGGGGAGCAAAACAGGAUUAGAUACCCUGGUAGUCCACACCGUAAAACGAUGAAUGCCAGUCGUCGGGUAGCAUGCUAUUCGGUGACACACCUAACGGAUUAAGCAUUCCGCCUGGGGAGUAC